rnacentral:rRNA from 1 species
UUCCGUAGGGGUGACCUGCGGAAGGAUCAUUACCGAGUCGGCUCUCGCAGCCCAACCUCCCACCCGUGUUUACCGUGACCCUGUUGCUUCGGCGGGCCCACUGGGCCUCUGCCUGGUCGCCGGGGGGCGUCUCGUCCCCGGGUCCGCGCCCGCCGGAGAAUCUCUGAACCCUGUCUGAAGUAAGUGUCUGAGUGAAGAUUUUAAAUCAUUAAAACUUUCAACAACGGAUCUCUUGGUUCCGGCAUCGAUGAAGAACGCAGCGAAAUGCGAUAAGUAAUGUGAAUUGCAGAAUUCCGUGAAUCAUCGAAUCUUUGAACGCACAUUGCGCCCCCUGGCAUUCCGGGGGGCAUGCCUGUCCGAGCGUCAUUUCACCCCCUCAAGCACGGCUUGUGUGUUGGGCGUUGUCCCCUCGGGGACAUGUCCGAAAGGCAGUGGCGGCGCCGCGUUGGGUCCUCGAGCGUAUGGGGCUUUGUCACUCGCUCGGGAAAGGACCUGCGGGCGUUGGUCUUCCUUGUACAGCCCCUGUGGUUGUCUUUUAUGGUGACCUCGAUCAGUAGCCCGCUGAACUUAAGCAUAUCAAUAAGCGGAGGAA